UACGGAGGGUGCGAGCGUUGUCCGGAAUCACUGGGCGUAAAGGGCGCGUAGGUGGCGCGACAAGUCAACGGUGAAAGCUCGGGGCUCAACCCCGAGUCGGCCGUCGAUACUGUUGGGCUCGAGCACUGUAGAGGCAGGUGGAAUUCCGGGUGUAGCGGUGGAAUGCGUAGAGAUCCGGAAGAACACCGGUGGCGAAGGCGGCCUGCUGGGCAGUAGCUGACACUGAGGCGCGACAGCGUGGGGAGCAAACAGG
rnacentral:rRNA from 2 species